AUAAAUCAGCAAUUUGAUCCUUAAGUCUUCCCUAAAUACUUUACCAGUAUUAUUUGUGGGGAAGCUGUAUAUGAUAAUAUCUGGAUUUCAAGAGGGUGCUGAUUGAUACUUCAAAAUUAAGAUUGCUAUCUACAAUCAAGAGGGUGUGAAAUACACUCACUUCAGCUCUGUUAGUUUCACCACUGCUUGCUAAUUUUUACCCUAUUGUUCAUUCAAUCCUCCAACUUUGUACCAGUUCAAAGCAAUUCGUAUCCAGAAUAGCAAAACAAAUGUCAUCAGUUAUAGGAUGGGUUCGACAUGAACAACAGAGAAUCACGGCUUUUUUGCUGGCAUGCAUUACUAGUUAUUGAUAAAUUCGGACCAAGUCCAAUCCCUUGAUUAUUUGCUCCUAUGUAUAUUACUAAGAUCUAAGACAUGUCCUCUUGGGUACCUCUGAAGACGUACCAUUUAAGGUCACCAAGGCUACCGUCGUAUACUCGUAAGAAGUGUUACAAUGUACUUCCAAGGGCACUAAGACACCCUACAUGCACUCUCGUCAGCAGAGCUUUUAUUUGCCAUUAAGGGGUGGUUGAUUCCAUCAAGCUCCUCAUUCCGGUGCUUCGGACUGGGGACAUUGUUUGUGUUCUGUUGGCCGGCGACUAGAGCUUCGGCAUCCUAUCAAACACGGAGGUCCCCACUGUACAUGGCAGCGACAUCGGCGGUCAACCGGAAACAGAAAUGAAGGAAAACAGGGUGGAAACAAGGGGGUUAUGUGGUGUAAUCUAGUGAUCACUCCAAGAGAUCUCAGUCGGCGAUGAUGGCCCAAUCAGGGGUAAGUUUGGGCGAUAGUGCCAGCAUUGGUACUAACUCCGGCGAGGCGCCGACUGGAGUGUACAACAAGGGUUUUGGCGGCACAAUCAUGAGGAAAGAAUUAGGGCAGCGAUUGGCGAGAAAGACUGGUGGUCGCCGGAGUGCCCCAAGGGGUCGUAGAUGAGUUAUACGCGCAGAGGCUAACUCUAGAAAUAAAUAAAUGAAUCUAUUCUUCUGCCUAUUGGAAUGGAUUGAAAUGUGCAUGCUACAAGUUAGAGUUUUGGUUGGAUGGUGAUGAGUUCC
rnacentral:lncRNA from 1 species